rnacentral:lncRNA from 1 species
UCCUUAAACUGAUCUAUGCUAACAUGGAGUAAUACAGCACAUGAAUAUCACAAUAAUCAAGCUCAAAUCGACCGUUUCAAGAUUGAAGCUUAGUUUGGGCAUUUUGUCGAACACUGGGUGUGCAUUAAACUAGCCCCAAUAGCCUCAUCGAGCCAUGUUUGCAACCUUCAAUCUCCACUUAUAAGCAAUCUCAUAUGGAACUAAAGUAUCAAGAUUAUACUACCACAUGCAAAUAACAAGAUUAGAUAGAAAUCAUAGCUAAAAACACACUAGAACCAAGCUAAAAUCGUCCUCAAAUGCACGGGUUUGAGCUGAUUUUGCAAAUCUGGGCUUGAACCCAAGUCAAGCAAACAGGUUACAUGCCCAUAUUCAAGCCCCAACACUCAUCACAUGCGAGAUCUAAGGGAAAUGCUACUUAAUCCACGUGAAAGUAGAUAACAUGGGCUUUCAAAUACAACAAACAUAAUGGAGAAUGACUCACCGAAAAACAUCAAAACGACCUCUCCAAGAAGCACACAUGCAAAACUCUUGAAGAGAUUUCAAACACUUAGAAAAAUUUCAGCCUCAGAAAUCAGUUUUCUGGGCUGGUUUUACUCUUGAUUUUCAUGAUCAAAACAUGCUCAAACUCGAAAAUAAAUACAUCUAGGAUGCUUACCUUGCUUCCUAGUUUCCUUUUCAAGUGGUUAUUGGCUGAUGAAACCGACAAAUUAUCCUCGGGGGCCUGUGGAAGUUGGCUUCUUCAACUGGAAAUGAGAUCUGCAAAAAAAAUGAACUGACAACGAAGGUUUUCAUUGACCUCUAACAUUAGACUUCAAGACGUAUUUUGUUGGAAAACUUGACACCACGCCAAACUAUAUGUAUUCUAGUUUGGGUUAAAAGUCAAUAUUUUCCUCAUUUGUUUCUCAAAUUUCUCAAAAACACUGGCUUUCCUCACUCGUGACCAACCAGUCUCAUUACUUAGAAAAAUUUUCGGACUUUCUUGGCCCGCCAGGAGGGCACUGUUUCGGGGGGCUUUAGGAGGCCUUCCCCAUCUCCAUUUGGGACGUGCGACCUAUGGUUGGAAAGAUCUUUGAAUGAAGUUUCACUCUCUAGUUGGAGGUUUUGGCUAAUUUUUGCCGAAGGGUUGUGAAAAUCUCACUUUUCUCUCAAAAGGUUGAUCUGGAAUUUCUGGGUUUGCUUUUCUGGAGUUGCUUCUGAGGGCCUCUUUGGGGAACGAUUCCGAGCUCUCUCCUCUUCCCCUUGUCUCUUCUCUCUCAUCCC